rnacentral:tmRNA from 1 species
GGGGGCGAAACGGUUUCGACGGAAGCAGGAGCAUCCAGGAGGCAUGCCGGGCCCCACGUGCCCGUAAUCGCGUGGAACGAAGACAACUGCCAACGAACAGCUGGCAUACGCUGCCUAACUAGGCAGCGCGUCCUGCUCCGGCAGCCCGCGGCCGGGGACAGGGCGUCAACCCAGCGGGCUAGCCCUUCCGGCCCCCGCCUGAGGCCGGACGGGCGAAUCCAACCAGGCUGGCGGCGACGGGCUCUUGCCCGCUCCUGACCCGUCGCGGCGACAACUUCAGAACGGGAUACGCAUGUAGGCUCCUGGCUGCAAGGCUUUUCGGACGCGGGUUCGACUCCCGCCGCCUCCACUU